rnacentral:lncRNA from 1 species
UUCAAAUCCACGAACGCCACGUUCCGAAUCCACGAAAUGCCUCCACUCCGAAUCCACGAAGCUCACAAUCCGAAUCCACGAACCGCCGUCAAUCACGCCGAAUCCACGACGCCGUCAUGAAGAACAUCAUGUGUAUGGUGAUCCUCCGCUUAGAGUAUCGAUGAAAACUAGGAAAGAGAACUCCAAGCGAAGCGAAAAUCAAAUCGACAUAUAGAUAUGAAAUUUCAAUAUCUUGAUUUGACCUAAAAGAGGCUAAUAUGUAGAAAAUAGGUUUUAGAUGAAAUCCGAGCCUCUAGGGUUUCUCAAACAUGUAUUUUCGUGAUGCUUGAUCUGUUAGAGAACCCCAAUAGCUUAUUUAUAGACUUUAGAAUCAAUUGGAGUCGGAUUAGAAAGUUUUCACGAUUUUACACUGUGUACCGGUACACUUUAAGCUGUCACCGGUUACACGAUGACGGAACGAAAAAACUGACGAAACAGUGAAACCGGUUACAUGUUGAUGGCUGUACCGGUACACAUUUUGUACCGGUACACUUCUGAUGCUGUACCAGUACACUUUGCAAAUUUUCACCGUUUCGGGUUUUGCAAAGUUUCGAUGCACUUUCUAAUCCAGUAAAUUUUGAUAUUAUGAUUCUAAUACCUACAACUAAGUAUAAAUCACCAUAACAUGAAUUAACACUUUACCUGGGCAUCGUGAUUCACAUCGUGAAUUAUUUUCCAAUUUCUUCGAAAUCUUGAAUUCUUUGAUCUUCGACGAUACGCACCGAUUCUUCAAGACUCUGACUCACUUCACGAAACUUGCCAACACACAAGGCUUAACACCACCUUGGUCUGCGGAUCCCAACUUCCACUCCACCCCCAUGAUCGCCCCCCUUUGUCCAGAGAGAAAAUAGGGGUAAGCUGGCUUUCGAACUGGAGCAGAGGUAGAGACUUGUUGGCUUUGGUUCUCGUGACGUCCACAAUGACAUUGUCAGUUAGGCUAGCUGCAUGCAAACUCUUCAUCCGCCCCAUCCCCUCUAUAGACCAGAGAAAGGCUCUUAACCCGAAGGAGGUCAAGUGAAACUUCGGCCCGCAGCCCCUCGUGUGAAUCAGGACCCGUUAUGGCAUGGGCUUAGAGGUGGUGACUAGUUCCAGGCCCAAUCCUCAACGAAGUACUCAACCCCAUUCACAGUGAGCUAUCCCCUUCCGCACCCACCACUAGCUACCUGGCCCAAUAAGAUUUUCACCUGGCCCGAUAAGAUCUUCAGGGGUGUCCAUGCAUGCUUGACAGCCAACUUGGGUUUGGGUCCAAAGGUUUGACCCAGAUCAUCUAUGGCCUCGGGCCCCACAACAACCAUAGUAGUGUUUUCCUCCUCCCAAGGCAUUCUCCAUGAUAGUGAAGAAAGAUGGUGUCUUUCUGAACUCACCCAGACCUCUCUCGUGUAAGUUUCCAUUAUCGUGAAAGUCGCGACCAUCUCCCUCCGCUCUACCUCCUUGGUUCCUGAGCUCCCUUGAUCUCGAUCUUCACGCCGUCGCUAUUAUUCAUUGCGACGAGUGGCUGUCCACCAUGCGCCACACCGUCUCUUGCCGCCGACGUAGAUCGCUAGGCCACCGCGGGUACGCGCUGGGACACCAUGUGUAACACACUGGACCUUUGCAAAUUGCGAGGUUCAAGUAUUUGAUCAGUGUUAUGAAUUUUUUCAGAUUUUCUGGUGGGUCGUUAACAGUGUUCCGACCUAUCGCUCGUAUCCCGAGAACUGAGUUGUCUUACUUCUACUUGCUUUCAUAUCUCUUUUGUUGUAGACACUUUAUAUGUGCAGGCAUAUGGCGGGUCUGGGCACGCACCGGGCGGGCCUAUGCCGGGUCCCGGGGCGUGACACCAUGGCUCCCGGAACCAUGUAAAUCGAUUGCGCUUACCCGACCUCCUCUAGCUCCCCGUCGUCGUCACCCAUCACGUCAUCGGCGGUUACCUGACUACCGUUAGCUUGGUGUCUACAAUCUCUACCAUCCACUUGCAUCACGUCGUCGUCGGGCCCAUUCUGUGGCGGUGUGGGGGGUUCGUCACCCCUUGGCCCCUCAGCACUCUCCCAGCUCUCCAGGUGGACCAUGACUGAGAAGAUCUCCUCGCCAAGCACUACGAACAAGUUUUGUGGAAUGUCGCUUGCCAACUCGAGAGUGAUUUGGCACCGGAAAGCUCUGAGGUCUGUCAUCGCCUUCGUCAUGUCGUCUACCUUGACAAACCGCCCAAACUAGCUAACCAUCGCCGCCACUCGUGCCACAGUCCAACACUCAAACGGUAGGUUGAUCAAGCGAACCCACGCUCUAAACUGUACCCGAUAAGGACGAGCAUUUCUGUAAAGGCCCCAUAGGUAACACCUGAUCCAGAAUCCGUCGAGAGUAAGGACUUCUCUUCUAGUUAGAAUCUCUGCCGAGACCGAAUCUAGCAGAAAAAUUGCAAAGUCCCUGUCCCUAUACCGUGCGACCGUAAAAUCUUGUGUAUACCCCCCAAAACGUCUGGCCAUUGCACGUACGAUGGAGUGGAUAGGGUCAAGUCCCAGGUUCGCAGGCCAGAUUACGUCCGCGAGGACAGCAUUGCGAUGCCAUUCCCUUUUUCACAAUUACUCCUCCGUGUAAGGUACGUAGACCUUAGAGUGCGGCAUGCGGCCUCGUUGACAGUAAACUCUAUUCAUUUCGACGUUGAUCCUAUCAACUUUUUCCUUACAGCUGAGUGCUCGGUGCCCGAUUUUUAGACACCUGAACCACUUUACAGGGUCGCGACACACUGCGACUCUAUGGUCGCUAGCUAUACACCAGCACCUCUUGACUUUGCUGUGGGAUGAAGGAUCCUUGGAUCUCAGGGAGUAGGGUUUCAGGUUGUGUUGAUGAGUGGAAGCAGGAGGUUGUAAGCGCGGCUUCCUCAGCCACACCUCCUUAUAAGACCCACUGGCAAGGAAGCAGGAGUUAAUGUCGCCACCUUCCGCUCUGUACCGCCCUCCCCUCUUAGCAUCUCUGGGCAAUAUCCGAAGCUUUCCACUUUGUUGUCCUUCAUUUACACCAUCCUUAUGAUCUCGAUCGAAGCCCUUACUGGAAGCGGCUAGAGUCACCUCCUCUUCAUUAUGAUACCUAUUGACCUCUAUCAAAUUUCUACCAACCUCAUCCGCCCAGGCCAACCGCUUCAAAGGCUUCUUCCCUGCCCAGGCUAGUUGCGUCGAAGGCUUCUUCCCCUCCUUCUCACUCUCUCUUCUCUCUCUCUCUACUUCUCUCAAUCCUUUUGUGACAUAUAUAAAUUUUAACUAACAAAAAGUGCUGUUUGUAUCCAAUAAUUUUCAGGUAUCAUCGGAUUGGUCACGCCCGACGCGGGUUACCAGCGGAGUAGGACGGCAUACCAGAACACGUCAACUCGUCAGGUGGGCUACAGAGGCCCGUACCGCUGCCAAGUAUAUAAGGGGAGUAUCAAGAGAAGCACACAGCAUUAGGAAGUAUAACAAAGGAGUCAGUCUAUUCCCUGAUAUCAUAGAGCAAUGUUACUAGUCGAUUAUCUAUCGAGUAAAAGAACAAAAGAGUGUACAAUCCAAAAUCUCGACUAAGAAGAAUAAAGUAUCAACAACUUAAGUUUCGGUCAAAGGUAAAUUUAUAACAUCACGGACAGUACAACAAAAAAACUAGGUCCAAUGUUGUAUCUUAUACAAGGCGGCAUCACCAUCGGUCGUACGCUAGCCACGAGUAGUCAAGGUGACUGAUAGCACGGUCUGGCACACGACUAGCUAGAGACGGACUCCUGUUGUUGACCCAGUAUCCCCUAGCCUCUCGCUAUGCGGAUUGGCUCUAAGUAAAAACAACCACCAACGAACGCGGUGCUUUCCACCUCUGAGAACUAACUAUCAAACAUAGCCUCCCACCAGCUGGGUACGCGCCCGCGCCUCGGCGAAUUGUACACCACCUACGGCUAUGAUGUUGACUAAUUGCAUAAACCAAAAACGAUAAAGUGCAUGAAAUUAUAAGCUGAUGCUAACAUAGUAAUAGAGGAGAUGUAAUCAACAGGGUUAACUAGCAUUUACAUCAGUCAACUUGAAUCAUUUCCCUCUGCUCAUUCAUAGGGAUUUAUGCAAUUUCUGGUAAUCAUUAAACAUAGGACUAUGAGAUAAGCACGAACAUGAAGAUGAUUACUGUAACAUUUAAUUAAUAAAAUGCAUUCAUUACUGUCCUUUUCAUUGGAGUUAUUCCUUUCAUUCACAGGGACCUCCCCCCCCGCUCUCCAGCAUACCAGGCUAGUCCAGCUUGCCGCCGGCGCUAUGGGCGAUGGUAGUUAUCACAUCCCCAUCCGGCAAUCAUUCGGUCCACCAAUCCGCAUCAUCCAACGGGCGAGAACUGUCGGCUAGAUGACAACUCCGGAGUGCCGGCUUGUAGGGAUGCGACCCUCACCAAGCGGUCGUGCGAAUGAGCACGAUGGCAAGCAAGCAUAUUCACUGUCCAAUUGUUUUCCUCCAUUAUUAUGUUUUAUUGUGCAAAUUGUUUCUUACAUCGAUCCUCCCGAUCGGUAAUAUCACAUGGCAUCUAAGGGAAUAACCAAGAUACUAGUAAUCCAUAGUAUUGGUAAACAUGUAAGAGUAUAUGUAAAUACCAUGUAAUUAUAAUCUUUCCGUCAAUGCAUGUCAAUGCUAUAAUCAAUAAAGUCACGAGAAUAUCAUUGCUUCUCUACUUUUACAAAGUAAUGAUCAUUGUCCAUAGUUUUAACUUUAAACCUAACUUAAACGUAAAUAUGAGCAUAUAUAAUUAUGGCAUAAGUGUCUCUAUAUUCAUAGAGGAUGCUAUUUCAAUAUUAUCAACGGAUAAUGGCAAAGAGUAUCAAAUCAUUUUCACAAAGUGAACAAAGAACACUACGUUAUAUCAAUUCAUAUAGUACAUAUAGAACUUUAGGGGAGCUUCACUUGCGUCUGGUUUAGUCAAAACCCACUAGUAUAGGCAUCAAAUAGUCCAAAAGGAGUCCCAGAGAGAUAAGCUCAACUACAAGGUCUCAUCCUGGACUGAACCGAAGCACAUAAGAUCGUAAUCAAAUCACGAGUUGAAAUGUCCAAUUCGGGCUAAUUGCCACUUAAUACUAGGAAUAGACUUUAAAUCCAUGUUUUGGCCUUAGUCAAUACCUCCGUUAAGCCUUACAGAAGGCCCUCAAAGGCCAAACGAAGGCGGUCAAGGUACAAAUACCUCUCGCUGCGAAACAAUUCCGAACGACAUCAAUAUAGUCGCAUUUAUAAGCUAUCAUGCUCGAACUUCUUGCAAUUUCGGCUUCUUAACUGAGAAUUUUUGUCUUACCUCAGGUUUAGAACACCUUUCAUGAAACCUGCUUCCACAAGUCAUCAAAUAAGGCUCAAGUGGUUCUGAGAACCUGUUGCGAAAGGACAAGUUGCACACUGCUUACAAUUCCAGGAUGCUAACCCGCGUUCUGUAAAACGUCGAAAUCCGUCCAUAAGAUGCGCUCUAAUUAUAUAUUUACCUUCUUCAAAAAGAUUAUCCCUACCAGUCCUUAUAAGGAGCUCAAUUCACAAGCUUAAUUGAUCCAACUUAUAAUUGCUGAAAAUUCUCAGACUUAAAAUGCACACUUAGAGCCAAUAUAUACAAGGCAACACAAAAAACGAUAACUAGAACAUUGUAUAAUGGAGAAAAUCGAUGUUUAUUUCCUUCUCGAGCUUCCCAACAGCUACAUUCACUUGGGUCGAGUUGCAAAGAACCUGUUCCUCGCGACCACCACAAAUAGCGAUACUUCUGCAUGCGUCCAGAAGUCUGCGACGUCGCACUAACAGCGCCAAAUGACCAACGGCCAUCUCCGGCGACGAAAAAGCAAAACGACGAAUUCGAUAGUAGAGUAAGAGAGGAGAAAAACCUAGAGAGAGAGGGGAAGAGUGGAGGAAGCUCCUCAGCACUCGUAGCAAAUUCCACUAAAGUCCAGAGGUCGUGCUGGGAUCAAAUACGGUAGUAUCAAAUGUUGAAAUUAUGAAAACUAACCUGUGCUGCACUGAAUUGACAGUUGUACGUUACAAGGUGAUGGCAUUCGGCGACGGUACAACAGCAGAAAAUUGCUGAUUUCUGCCGAAUCAAUGCAAUUUCUUAUUUUAGCAUUCCACAUCAUCUCUAUAAUUAUCCAAAAACUUGUUUAAUCUUUAGAACAUGUAGUGUUGUCCACACACCAUCCACAUAUAACUCGAAACUCCGCAAUUUUGCAAAAGGUUCAGUAUUUACAUUCACCCCUCCCUAAAAGAAGUUUCGGUUCGCGAACUUGUAAUCAUUACUUCAAGAUUUUAACGUCGAAGAAUAGAUAGGUGAUAAAUGGCUCUGCAUUGCAUCUCCAGUUCCGAAGUGUGUUCUCGUUUCUUCGUGAUUACUUCCAACAGGAUCUUCACGUAGAGGUAUCUCGCGAUUCGAAGCCGUUCUUUAGUUGCCCGAGCUAGGAUUCUCACUGGAUGCUCCUAAAUUCAAAUCUCUCCGUAAAUCUACUGGUAGUACUGUCAAUUAUUGUCUGCGUCAGAUCAAAGAAUAUUACCGGUCGCAGUGUAGAUACAUGGGAAAUACUUAUGACUCUGCUGGAGACUCGGCGUUAAAGCAAGACGAUAAGCUACGGGGCCUAUCCGCUCCAACACCGUUAGGGUCAAUGAUUCAGGACUCAACUUUGCAUCGAAUGCAAAUCUUUUAACUCUUUGUCGCGGGAAACUUUAGGAUGACAUGAUCGCGACUGAAAAUUCAGUUUUCGGCGCGGUUUGUCCGAUUAACGUCUUUUUGUCGCCCCACUUUAUGUGCUGUCAUGUUAGAGUUUGUGCAGUCGACUUUAGCUUCAGUGUCUUGUAAUUACGUCUGGACCAAAAAACACAAUCGUUUCUCCAUUCGCAUCCAAUGAAGUGGGUGAUUGCAACUUUCUCAUAGGGCUCAAAAGUUGCAUCUGAAUGCUUCUGAUAACUAUUGUUUAUAGAGAAAUUAAGCGAUCGGGUAGAAGACUUGUGGACAAUGCCUGGUAGUAAAUCCACAGUUGCCGCAAUAUACUAUAUCAAGGGUUGAGAUGGUACGCUUCGGACUG